rnacentral:rRNA from 1 species
UACGGAGGGUGCAAGCGUUAUCCGGAUUCACUGGGUUUAAAGGGUGCGUAGGUGGGUAUGUAAGUCAGUGGUGAAAUCCCCGAGCUUGACUUGGGAACUGCCGUUGAUACUAUAUAUCUUGAAUAUCGCGUAGGUAAGCGGAAUAUGUCAUGUAGCGGUGAAAUGCUUAGAUAUGACAUAGAACACCAAUUGCGAAGGCAGCUUACUUCACGAUUAUUGACACUGAGGCACGAAAGCGUGGGGAGCAGACAGG